rnacentral:rRNA from 1 species
AUUGAACGCUGGCGGCAGGCCUAACACAUGCAAGUCGAACGAGUGGCGGACGGGUGAGUAAUGUCUGGGAAACUGCCUGAUGGAGGGGGAUAACUACUGGAAACGGUAGCUAAUACCGCAUACCAUCAGAUGUGCCCAGAUGGGAUUAGCUGGGUGGUGGGGUAAAGGCUAACCAAGGCGAAGAUCCCUAGCUGGUCUGAGAGGAGGAACAGCCACUCUGGAACUGAGCCACGGUCCAGACUCCUACGGGAGGCAGCAGUGGGGAAUAUUGCACAAUGGGCGCAAGCCUGAUGCAGCCAUGCCGCGGGUAUGAAGAAGGCCUUCGGGUUGUAAAGUACUUUCAGCGGGGAGGCGUUACCCGCAGAAGAAGCACCGGCUAACUCCGUGCCAGCAGCCGCGGUAAUAC